AUGGUAGAAUCUGUAGCAGCUCCCAGUUCUCCUAUAGUUGAUCCUCCUAUUGCAUUGCGUAAGUCUGCAAGACGUACUGAUAUUCCAGCGCGCCUUAAGGAUUGUGUUGUCUAUAAGCAUGAUAUUGCCAAAUUUAUUUCUUAUGAAAAAUGUAGCCCAACAUUCCAAGGAUUUAUUGCUUCUUUAGACUCCACCUCUAUUCCAAGAGAUUGGAAGGAUGCUAUAAAGGAUUCUAGGUGGAAGACAGCCAUGCUAGAGGAGAUGGCAGCCUUGGAGAAGAACAAUACAUGGGAACUCGUGAACUUACCAUCUGGUAAAGAACCCGUGGGGUGCAAGUGGGUAUACACCAUUAAGCAUAAUCCUGAGGGUAAGGUUGAGAGGUACAAGGCUCGUUUAGUAGCAAAAGGGUAUACUCAGACAUAUGGGAUAGACUACGAAGAGACUUUCGCUCCAGUUGCCAAAAUGAAUACAAUACGAACUUUGAUAUCAUGUGCAUCUAAUCUUGACUGGGACUUACAUCAACUAGAUGUAAAAAAUGCUUUUCUUCAUGGAGACCUCCAAGAGGAGAUUUACAUGCAUAUACCUCCAGGUUUUGGCACUGCACAAACUGAGGGCAAAGUACUUAGGCUGCAUCGAUCAUUAUAUGGCUUAAAACAAUCACCUCGGGCAUGGUUUGAUCGUUUUCGACGGGCGGUACUACUAAUGGGUUAUAAACAGAGUAAUGCCGAUCAUACUCUGUUUUACAAACGUAAUGCAAGCAAACUGGCUAUAUUGAUAGUCUAUGUUGAUGAUAUUGUUAUUUCAGGAGAUGAUGAGGAGGAAAUAAAGAGAUUGAAGUUGCAACUGGCACAAGAGUUUGAAGUUAAAGACUUGGGUCAAUUAAAAUAUUUUCUUGGAAUGGAAGUCUCUAGGAGUUCAAAAGGUAUCUAUCUUUCUCAGAGAAAAUAUAUCUUGGAUCUCCUAUCAGAAACUGGAAUGAAGGGGUGUCGUCCAGCUUCUACACCAAUUGAACAUGGUUGUCGCCUUGUUAAAGAGGGAGGCUCACCCGUAGACCGGGAACAAUACCAAAGACUUGUUGGGCGCUUGAUCUAUCUAUCACAUACUCGCCCUGAUAUUGCUUUCGCUGUAAGUGUUGUUAGCCAAUUUAUGCAUGAUCCUCGAACCCAUCAUAUGGAUGCAGUAAAUCGGAUUAUUCGCUAUCUUAAAGGGUGUCCUGGUAAAGGUUUGUUAUAUUCUUCCCAUGGCAAUUUAUAG
rnacentral:rRNA from 1 species